GCACGGGGAGGUAGUGACGAAAAAUAACGAUACGGAACUCAUACGAGGCUCCGUAAUCGGAAUGAGUACACUUUAAAUCCUUUAACGAGGAUCUAUUGGAGGGCAAGUCUGGUGCCAGCAGCCGCGGUAAUUCCAGCUCCAAUAGCGUAUAUUAAAGUUGUUGCGGUUAAAAAGCUCGUAGUUGGAUCUCGGUUUCACUCAGGUGGUACACCUUGCGGUGUUCACUAUCUGGGUGGACGUUUCUGUUGGUUCGCUCUUGGUGCUCUUCAUCGGGUGCCAUUUGGUGGCCAGCACGUUUACUUUGAAAAAAUUGGAGUGCUCAAAGCAGGCGUUACAGCCUGAACAUUAGUGCAUGGAAUAAUGGAAUAGGAUCUCGAUUCUAUUUCGUUGGCUUUCGGAGUCGAGGUAAUGAUUAAUAGGGACAGACGGGGGCAUUCGUACUGCGACGUUAGAGGUGAAAUUCUUGGAUCGUCGCAAGACGAACUACUGCGAAAGCAUUUGCCAAGAAUGUUUUCAUUAAUCAAGAACGAAAGUUAGAGGUUCGAAGGCGAUCAGAUACCGCCCUAGUUCUAACCAUAAACGAUGCCAACCGGCGAUCCGUCGUCGUUAAUUGAAUGACUCGACGGGCAGCCUCCGGGAAACCAGGGUGUUUGGGUUCCGGGGGAAGUAUGGUUGCAAAGCUGAAACUUAAAGGAAUUGACGGAAGGGCACCACCAGGAGUGGAGCCUGCGGCUUAAUUUGACACAACACGGGAAAUCUCACCAGGCCCGGACACCGGAAGGAUUGACAGAUUGAGAGCUCUUUCUUGAUUCGGUGGGUGGUGGUGCAUGGCCGUUCUUAGUUGGUGGAGCGAUUUGUCUGGUUAAUUCCGAUAACGAACGAGACUCUGGCCUACUAACUAGAAGGUCUAUCCUUUAUGGGUAGGCCUCUGCUUCUUAGAGGGACGGGCGGCGUUUAGCCGCACGAGAAUGAGCAAUAACAGGUCUGUGAUGCCCUUAGAUGUUCUGGGCUGCACGCGCGCUACACUGAAGGAAUCAGCAUGUUCUCCCCUCCCUGAAAAGGGCGGGUAACCCGUUGAAACUCCUUCGUGAUGGGGAUUGGAGAUUGUAAUUAUUCUCCAUGAACGAGGAAUUCCCAGUAGGCGCGAGUCAUCAGCUUGCGUCGAUUACGUCCCUGCCCUUUGUACACACCGCCCGUCGCUACUACCGAUCGAGUGAUUUAGUGAGGACUUCGGACUGGUCUUCAAGUUGGCUUCGGUCGGCUCGAAGUUCCGGAAAGAUGCCCAAACUUGAUCACUUAGA
rnacentral:rRNA from 1 species